CCAAACUUGGUCAUUUAGAGGAAGUAAAAGUCGUAACAAGGUUUCCGUAGGUGAACCUGCGGAAGGAUCAUUACAACGUAUCCACGUAUAAACAAACGCGAACGUCCCGUUAGGGGUAAAAACCAGGGGAGCCUGGCAUGAAGUUAUUCGGCUGAACUGCUAAUUAUGUGCUUCGUCGAUGGAGUUGCUCUUGCAGCAACUGAAGCACGAGUUCGGCCCGGUUAAUCCGGACUUCGUUUACCUCUAACGUGUAUCAACCAUCGGUUAAUAUGUACCUUUAUUAACCCUUUGUAAACUUCGAACUGAACUUGUAAUUUCUGCGGUUGUCCUUGUUGGCUUCGGUCACGGACGGCAUAACGCAGUCUUUACUAUAUUACGAAAUUAAGAACAACUCUUAACAACGGAUAUCUUGGUUCUCGCAUCGAUGAAGAACGCAGC
rnacentral:misc_RNA from 1 species